rnacentral:rRNA from 1 species
UACAGAGGUCUCAAGCGUUGUUCGGAUUCAUUGGGCGUAAAGGGUGCGUAGGUGGCGCCGUAAGUCGGGGUGUGAAAUUUCGGAGCUUAACUCCGAAACUGCAUUCGAUACUGCGGUGCUUGAGGACUGGAGAGGAGACUGGAAUUCAUGGUGUAGCAGUGAAAUGCGUAGAGAAUCAUGAGGAAGACCAGUGGCGAAGGCGGGUCUCUGGACAGUCCUGACACUGAGGCACGAAGGCCAGGGGAGCAAACGGG